GCAGCGGUUAGCGGUCCGCAGACGCGGGGGCGGCACUCGAGUCACCCUUUCUCGGGCAGUGCCGGAGCGGACUCUGUGACACCUGGAAGGAGCCACGGUCAGGCCGGGCUGCCAGGCUCGACAGGAGGGGCAGGAUCAGGCGGGAAGGGGUUGGGGCGGCGAAGGCCGGGAGCGCCGGGCAGUGGUCCCCCGAGUGGCUCCGAAACCCCCGCGAUGCGACCCCCAACGAGCACCGAUGCCGGGGCGGGAGCCCGCGCGGGCCGGGGUCGUGCAGUCUCACCGACAGCCAGCGUGAUGAAGGCCACCUGGAUGAAGAGCGACAGCCAGCUCAGCAGCUCCAGGGGGUCCUCCCAUGACAGGAAUUCCUGAUGAGAAGAAAAGGUGCAGCUCUCUCUGACAAGCUGGCUCCUCUCCUCAGAAAAAAGAAAGAAACAAAGAGAAGAGGAUGACAUUGAAUGUAUCAGAGAACUAAGAAACUUCUGCCAGCCUGAGCAACUUCUCCAGCCAGGGCGACAGAGCAAGACCAUGUCUCAAAAAAACAAACAAAUGAAAAAAGAAAUUUCUGGAUGAGGAGGAUGC
rnacentral:lncRNA from 1 species